rnacentral:rRNA from 1 species
UACGGAGGAUCCGAGCGUUAUCCGGAUUUAUUGGGUUUAAAGGGUGCGUAGGUGGAUUGGUAAGUCAGUGGUGAAAGUUUGCAGCUUAACUGUAAAAUUGCCGUUGAAACUGCCGGUCUUGAGUGCAAAUGAGGUAGGCGGAAUGCGUCGUGUAGCGGUGAAAUGCUUAGAUAUGACGCAGAACUCCGAUUGCGAAGGCAGCUUACUGGGAUGCAACUGACGCUGAGGCACGAAAGCGUGGGUAUCAAACAGGAUUAGAUACCCU